GAAUUUUAUAAUAAUAACAAUACAUAAAAGACAAAAAAUAGAGAGGGAGCAAAGGGAACGAGAAAUAGAAGGAGAACGCAUAGCAAGAGGGAGGAGAAAUAAGGGGAAGAGAGGUAGAAGAAGUGAAGGCCAAUGCCAUCAUUGCCGCAGGGGAGAGGAAGAGAGUGAUUCGAGAGAAAGGAAGAGGGGGCUAGCAUCGCCCCUGCACGUGGAGGGAGAAGAGGGAAACUGUGCUGCUGCUGCCAUCCCUGGAAGGAGCCGAGUAGGGAAAGGAAGAACGUGACAAUGGAAGCCUCUAAUGUUGCCGCUACCAUCAACGUCAUUGGGACUCAUGAUCGUGCCACCGUCGGUAAAGAAUCAAACCGUGUCUCUGCUGCCCAGGCUGAUUGGGUUGGUGCUGCCACCACUAAAAUGGGUUUCUUGGCUUCUAGCUUCUGUUUUUCUGAGCGUCGAAGUUGUUGCUGGUUCAUUUGAUCUCUCUUAGCUGCAGUAAGUCAAUUUCUGUUCCAAAACCCUCACUGCUACCUUGUUCCAAUUUUGGCUCAGUGUCACUAUUUUGAUCUAGCAUUUCCUCUAAUUCUGCUCCACUUGCACGACCCAUUCUGCCGUCAUCUUAUUAAUUUUCUUUUUCUCGUUCUAAUUCGAUUUUAGUCUCUGCUCUAUCUUGAAUUUCCAGAGCCAUUUAUGCUUUUGAUUCCAUUGAAUUUUAAUUUUCCAUUUAGCUGUAACCAUGGUCACUACUAUGGGAACUAAUGAUGUUGCUGUCCCGAUUGUGUUGGGCCGUAAUGUUGCUGCUAUCUCGGUUGAAACUGCUGUGGUGUUAGUAGCGGUUCAAUCAGCCGUCACACAGUAAUUCCGCUUCCGAUUCCUCUUAAGUUCGGCUAACUGAGGCAUGAGAUUUGUUUUUAAAAGUAAAGGUUUUAAAUUAUAAAUGCCAAUAAAAUUAAAUGAGUAACUACAAAUGGUUUAUGGUUGCUUUGUGUGAAUAAUUGAUGGAAUUGAGUUUAUUUGUAGCUAUAAUUGAUGAUUGGUUUGAUGAUUUAAUGUUGUAAUUUUUUAUGGUGAUGUUGCUGAAACUUCAUUGAGUAAACCAAAACUAUGAACUUGUGUUAUUGAUGAUGGAAUAUGUAUUUACUUGUUGAUGAUGCUGCUGGAUUUUCUGUUUUAUUGAUGCAGAAGUUGUGCUUGUCUAUAUAUAUAUAUAUAUAUAUAUAUAUAUAUAUAUAUAUAUAUAUAUAUAUAUAUAUGUACUUGUUUUUAAGUGAAAGAUAUAUCUUAAUGAUAAAGAUGUGUUAUUGUUUGAAUGAUAUGUGUGAUGGAAUAUUUAAUGAUGAUGAUGUUGACAAUGAAUGGUGUUGAGAUGCGAAAGUAUGGAUGCUUACUACGAACCUUAUUGAAGAUUAUUGGUGAGAUAAAAAGAGCUGAGCUCUUGGGGCCUAAUAUAACGAUCCAAUUUUCAGUACGUCAUGAUCAUACUGAAAAUCAAGCGUCACUAACUUGCUUUCCUAAAAAUUAACUAAGUAUUUAUUACUAAGCCUGUAAGCGUAUUAGCACACGAUCGAAUUUUCGAAAAAAACUAAUAAUUAAAUAAGGACGAUAGAAUAACACAAACAUCAGAGAUAGAGAUAAUAUACACCAUACAUACUACUUAUAUAUAUAUAUAUAUAUAUAUAUACUGUCAUAAAGCGUACAACGCUUCACAUCUUGUUAUUAUAUACAUAAUCAACACUCUAGGCCCUGGUCUAUAUAGGAAGUACCUAAGCUGGUGCCCGAAAACUAGCCUAGUCAACUAUAUACAUCUUACUCUCUCAGUAAGUCUAAUCAAAGGUGAGAUUCUAAAUAUAAAAACUGGGCUAACACAAAAGACUCCCAAAAGCCACAUCCUCAGCUCCCAAGCAUCAACUGUCAUCAUCAGAGGAAAUCUCAAUCACAUCUGAACACUACUCAGGAUCCUCGUCCUCGUCAUAAAAAAUCUCAAUAAUCUCAGGAGGGGUCCUGGCAAUCGUACUACUGCUCUGGCCCACGCUCGUCAGUCCACUAAUGGAGGUGGUGUGCAGCUCCUCAAAUAAAGGCUCAGACGAAGACACUAAGAUCUGCUCUACAUGAAUAUCUCACUUAGGUAUAGGCUUUAGUACAUGCUCCUCCACAGGCUCAGGCUCAAGGACCACUUGAUCCUUAGGCUAAUCAGGAUGCUAAGGUACAUGUCUGUCAUAAAACGAGUAAAAUGGAGUAUCAGGAUGAAGCUAAUGCAACCGGAAUUCAUAAGGCAUAUCAGGGUUAAAGAGCGGAGUGUUUAUUGGAUGACAGAAAGGUUGGUUGUGCAGAACAUACAUAAGGGUCCUAAUCUCUGCAGCCACUACGUAAAUUCUAUGUUGUACAAGAUCUUCAUAUAUGUAAGGAGGGUCCAUCUCAUAGAGCUAGAUGCCCAUCUCCAUCUGAUGGGGAAAUAAGGAAGGGGUAAGAACUAGGGAGUUCUUAGUAGGGUCGGGGGUAGUUAGAUAAGUUAGGAUUAUCACAGUUCAAUUAAUUCACAGUCAAAUAUACAGGAAUCACAUAGAAAUAGCCAGUCACAACAAUUUAGAACACCAUUAAAGAAUACACAAAUACAAGAAGACAAUCACAAACAAUUUCACAUUAUCAAGUAAAAUGUAAAUGCACAUUAAGGAUGAUGCAUGUCUAAUCCUAUCGCAGGUAAUGAGCUCAUUUGUCGGUUUUGACCCGCACUUGACGCAAUUGCAAGUCAGAUAAGGCAUUCCAGCAGCAUAACCUCUGUAAGUUUCUACUUCUUGCAAGUGCUGAUUCUCCAGCUAAAGUAUGUCGAACAUGACCUCUGCAAGUACUUGCAGCCGUUGAUUCUCCAGCUGAAGCAUAUGACUCUUUCUCCUAGAAGCCAUUCCAUAUUUACGGGUGUCCCCGCACAAUCAUCACAUACAAAGCUCACGACUUGUGAACUUUAUCCUUCGGCACAAUAACCACACUAUUGCCACCCUCUCGUGACCUUUCAAUAAUCACACGUGUCAAUCUAUCUCCUCUCUUUCUUCAGUCUUUUAUUUAUUUAUCUUUAAUAGUUCAAACUAUCUUCACACUGUUCUCUCAUCAUCCACUAAGUAUUUUAUGGAAAAAGAAUCAUAAGGUUCUUUAAUUACACUAUACCACAAAUGGGCAACGGAGGCGGAAAAUUAGGGGCCUUUCAACUUGCCGCUGCAAUUUGGGUCUGCAGAAGAAGAUUCCAUUCUUGUGUUGCAACAUCAGCGGUAGUCCGAUCCAGAAACAUCGCUAGGGAGUUGGUAGUGCGCGAAACACCGCCAUCGCUGCAAUACCAUGUCCAACUGCUGUUGAUCCAUAAUUUUCUAUUCGGCGUCAAGCUUUUGUCUCUCAUCCACAAUUCCUGAAACCCAAAGUCCUUCAUCCAUGGUGUGCAAAAUCCCUAACCUCUACUCCAGGUUAUCGAGACGCGCAGCUGCCAUCUGAGCUUCUCCCACCAGCGUUGAAGUCUCCUAUCUCCUCAAUUGAAACCGUGACACCCUCCUCCACCAUGAGCCAAUCUGAGCCAUCAUCGCCUCUCCCCUGUCAUUGACAUUAUGUUAGCUUCAACCAUUGGGCAUAUUAUCAUUCUUGUUUUACCAAGAUUCAAGAGGCAUCCGAAGAACCGGGAAAGGUGGUUCCAGAUUCAAUGGAGAAAGAGGACGUUGUCUCCUCUAAAGGUUCUCAUGACGCCGAUUCUACUAGACGAAAAGCUUCUAUGCUGUCCUAUGACCUCAAUAAAAUGCCCGAAGAGAAUGAAUAUCCUUAUAGUGGAAUAUCUCCUAGGAAGAAGAAUGCAUGGCACUUGGCUAUGUGGACAACACAAUACUUGAAUCCUUGAGGACAGUGCUUUAAAUAUUUGAAGAAUCUCGAUUCAAGUUGUAUAGGAUAGUCGAGAAUUGUUUGUUGAUUUUUUUGUGACUAUAACUAUUUAGACAAAUAUUAGAGAUUGUUCUUAUUGGACAGUUUAUCAUAUAGGAGAACAUAAGGAAUCUGAUAUUUAGUUAAGAUUGGUACAUUUGUUAUUGUUUUGAGGUGAAUAAUUCUUCAAUUGGGUUUAUCAUUA